CAUGGAGUUGAUGGUUAAAAGGGAUAGACUGCUCUAAGACUUGCAGUUGAAUGAGGAACUUUGUGCAUCAAAGAAAAUUAUAGGAAAGCCAUUUUGUGGGCUGGGGGCGGAGGGUGGAAAGACUUGAUGUGCAUUGUCAACUAAAUUAAUGAACUGUCAUCUAUCCAGUGAGUUUACUGAAGAGCCUACAGAAAUGUGAACAAAUGGGAUAUCACCAGAGCCACAGAUGCUCAGUGCUACCUGAUGGCAGCACCAGAAUCACCAGUACGGCUUUCCCAAAUCCUCUCUGAAUAUCAUCCAAGAGAUGGGAAUGUUCACAUUUUAAGGAGGUGCUGUUUUGUUUUCCUGGGUUUUUCCACACAAACUGAGGAAACAUUGUGUCUGGAAAAUUACAAGGUCAGCUUGUGCCAGAAGCUAUUGCUGGAGAAACAGCCCAGUGACGCCAUUAAACAGGCCACAGUUAAUUAGUAGCAAACCCUGAAGAUGUUUCUUACAUUAUGACACAGAGAGAUAGUGGAGAAAGCAAGAAAAAGAAAAAUCUGGAUAGGGG
rnacentral:lncRNA from 1 species